UCCUUGGUGGUCCAGUGGUUAGGACUCAGUGCUUUCAUUGUCUUGGCCCCAGGUUCAAUCCCUGGCAGAGGAA
rnacentral:tRNA from 1 species